UGAAUAUGCAAAAUGUAAAUGUCCCUGUUCCUGUACACCUCCUCUCCCUUCCCCUGGGAAAGGUUCAUUCAUUUAAUCAAAUCACAAGGCCAUCAGAUUUUAUACAUUAUUCUCAGUAAAAAUGUUUUGAUCUAUAAACUAUAUAUCAUUUUAUGACAACACUGAUGAAUGCUUGAGUCUGAUUCAUCAGAAGGUGUUGAUUCAUUUUCUAUAACAGCAGCUACAAGGUUUACAAUAGUACUUUUGUUUUAAUACAUUAUUAUUUCUGUAGUAACGACACACCAGGACAUGUAUCCUGCUUUACAGUAUAAGAAUGGAUUUUAAAAUUUAAUAUAGUGAUAGAUAGAUAGAUAGAUAGAUAGAUAGAUAGAUAGAUAGAUAGAUAGAUAGAUAGAUAGAUUUUCUGUGAGGAGCUUAUACCACAGAGUUUUGAUAAGAUGGAGUGGUAUCAUGCAAGUUACGCUUGUGCAAUGAUAAAGUCCAAUGCAUAAAACUAUAUUAAAUUGAAAGCAUAUUAUAAAUUGCGUAAAUUUCCAGUCGGUGUAUAGAAACACUGGUUAACAUCAGAACUGAACAGGACAGACAUAAUAGUCAAAGAUGAUAACAACAAUCAGAGAUUAUGGACAAGGUAACAAAGUAUGUUAGCGUCACUUUAAGUAUUCAUAUUGUGACAUUUCUGUUAUUUAUUUAACAUUUAUGGAAGGAGUCUCCAGUGUUAGCUUUGUAACGGUUUUCCACCACAGGAAAGUCUUCAGAGCAGAGAAAAUGAUUAAAUGUAAAUGAUUAAAUGUAAAUAUUAAUAAAUAAAAUUGGGGCAGUGGUGGCUUGGCGGUUAAGGCUCUGAGUUACUGAUCGGAAGAUCGGGGUUCACUGCCAAGCUGCCACUGUUGGGCCCUUGAGCAAGGCCCUUAACCCUCUCUGCUCCAGGGGUGCUGUAUCAUGGCUGACCCUGCAGACCCUGCUGACCCCCAACUUCCUGACAUGCUGGGGUAUGUGAAGAAAAGAAUUCCACUGUGUAUAUGUGAUCAAUAAAGACUCAUUAUCAUUAUCAUUAAAAAAUAUGACAUCAUUAGCCCUUGAUCUUCUUGAGCGAGACUCUUAACUCUUAUCUGCUCAGCUCAGCUGUAAGCCACUUUGUAUAAAAUCAUCUGCCUAGUGAGCAAAUGUAAAUGCAAGUAUUAAUUUAAAUAUAAAUAUGUUAAUAAGACAAAUGCAUGUGCCUAAUUGGAGUGAUCAAGAUCUUGGCAUCCUCGAAGAGAUCUAGAAUAGUUUCUAAGUGUCUAAUACAGUAAAAAGUUCAAAAUAUUUCUCAAGUCGUCUACAAUUUUGUGCAAGACACCAGGGACCUUUUUUCAUUUUUUUUUUUUUCAUUUUUUUUUUUUAAAUAAAAUUGGUCUUAUUUUGUGUUUUUG
ensembl:lncRNA